AAAAGAACAAUAUGGAAAGUAUACUUCCUCUUCUGCCCUGCUUAACUGAAGCUUUUUUGAUAGUGUUGCCUUUUAACCUUUUCCAGGGUUAUUCUCCCCGCUAUGUAGGAGCUACUCAGAAAAGUUAAUUCUGUUUCUGGGUAUCUCUAAUGUACAACGUCGACUGUUUAGAAUGGCAAUUAGGCUUCUUUCCACAUCAAAAUAAAAUCUGAACAUUCAUCAUUGAAGAAAAAUUGAUUUUGUGCUUCCAAACAUGACCGAGUUCGGCAAAGGGAUAAGAGGAUAAUUUACUUUCUGUCACCUCCAAAGUUAACUGAGGAAACACACACACACACACACACACACACACACACACACAUUUCCCUGACAGGCAGACAGGCAAAUCACAGACAAAACUGCAGGGCAGGGGGAUAAAAAGGGAAAAAAAAAAAAUCUUGAAAAAGCUGAGCUCUUCCAGUCCCCUCCCACCAGGCUCCGUGAAGGAUGACUUCAGUCCGUCUCCUAACUAAUUCUGUCACUGUAAAAUCCUACAGUCAUUCUUCCACACAUAAAGGACAAAUAAGCUGGAGAGGAGGACCCAAGUGCUUUCAUUUUUAACUCUUCACCAAUGGAGGAGAAGGCAGAAUGCCUAAGCUGUGUCUCAGUGGCCAAUAGGAUAGCUGUGUAUCUCCCACGUGACUCACUGCCCCUGUCUUUCACAUGGGCUGUAAUUUAGUUCAAUUCAGAACUGCAGAUAGUACGGCUUUCACAGGAGCAAGGAAUGCCUGGGCACAAGUGCCUGAGUUCCGAGGGACUUUGGGAAAACACUUUGCUCUCUCCCUCCUUCCUGGAAUCAGGGAUUCUGCACCUGCAUCAGAGACCGUCCAGCCAGAGCCGCUGCUGUGCCUCCAGGGACCAGGAACGAGCACAAAUAAGCGUUUUGAAAUUGGAUCUUGGACAAAUGAUCCCUUGGACAAAUCCAUGAAGGAAACUGAAGGCACGUGGAGCUACAUCUUCAAUGACAGUCCUGAAAAAAAAAUCAAAGCAAGAUGCUCUGUCUCCAAAGACAUCUAUUCCAAAGAGUACAGCUCUACCCCCAAAUGGGGACAGGAUGCAGGUACCUCGUUUUGUGUAGUUCUUUUGAAAUGCUUUGUUCUUUCUAUCACAGAACACUUCUUCUUUCUUGACUCCCAUCUCCCUCCUUCUUCCUUUUCUUCCUCGCGUUCACAUAUGUCUUUCAUACUUGACGUCGUUUACUGUCCUUUCAUCAGAUCUAUGCCACAUCACUUAGGCAAACACCUAAAUACACAUUAGAGCAGCCUGGGAGCCAAGAGACGCUUUGACCGUCUCAUCAGGGCAGUUAUAAUAAGCAUCUUGGUGUCACCGAAGGAAGACGCUGCACUCAAAUAAUAGCCUUCGUCGUCGUUACUCUUUUUAAAUAGGAAAGUAAACCUAGAAGCCGUUUGAAGGACCCAACCAAACAACACACGUGUGAACAGGGAUCUGUGAGCCUUUUGGAAACAAAAAAUCUCCUCACGUCAGAUGGGUAAAGAAUCUUAGCAGGUUUUAGAGAAAGACCUCCAGGCAAAUGAUGGCUUUUAAGAAGACACAUGACAGUCUCAAUUAUGAGAAUCAGGACUGUGCGUGCUCUGUGCCAUUUUAUGUUUCCAGCAGGAUUUUUUUUUUCUCAUCCAGAGUUUGCAGGGGUGUCUACUGUUAUCUGUGUGUGAAGCAUAUCGAAGCGGUCCCCCAAAGCUACACUCGUUUAAAAGAAAAAAAAAAAAAAAAACAGCAUUGUCAAGUGGUCAGACAGACUGGAACUAGAGGAUUAUAGGAAGAAGUCUAAAUUUCAGAGCAAAGAAACUGACAUGUUUUGCCAAUAGCCAAACUUUGAAACACUCAAAAAUAUGAAGACUUGAUGUUUAAAUAUACAAUAAUAUUGAAAUUUGAAAUACUAUUCUAUGCAGAGCUGACUGACAUACUUUUUGACUUAAUUUAUGACAGACACUCAAGGCUAAGAAACUAUUUGAAAGGAGAUCAGGAAAUCUAUCCUGACCACACUCUGCUCUCCAUGGUCUGUGUUAACAUUGGCGAUUAAGACAAAGAUGCUUUAGGUUAAUCCAGGGUUCCUAAUUGAGGAGAAUUUGAGAUUAAUUAUAACUUCUAAAUCGACAUCAAUCAUCCUGAGAAGCACCUGUCUGGAAGGGCUCUCCCUGCUGUCAGUCGGCACCACCUACCAGGUAAGAAAACAACACAGCAGAGGUCUGAUCUUAUACCGGGAGUGUUAGUGUGCUGGUCUUUGAAAAAAAUGAAACAUUUUGAGGCUCUUUAGAAAUCUAAUUUUUUCUUUUUUUUUUUUAAUCUUAAAAGUGAGCGAGCAGCAGUUUGUGAAGGAAAGAAGCAUGACUGUCUUAGGAGACCUAGUUUUAAAUCCCCAUCCCUUAAAUAAAGGGUAUUGAGCUUUCCUUUGCAGAAUAUCUAUUAUAAAGGGUGGAUUAGAAAGAAAUGGAACUAGUGUAUGUGAGGAUGAUGUUAUUAUCCAGAUUUCAUCUAGGGAGGGAGUGAAAGCUCAGAGGGGUUAUGUAACUAUGCCAGUCAGGGGCAGACCCCAGUCCAAUGACCCGGUUCUUUUGUCUUUGUUUAGUUCUUAUACUGUGUUUCCUAACAAGAUACCUCUUUCAAAUUGCUAUGAUUUGCAUGCAGAGAAAACCUUUACAUGCAUACACAUAGUUUGUAUUAAAAAUGAUGUUAACCCAACUUGUGAUAAUAAAUGGGUAGCAUAAGAAAAUAUAAGAAAAAAUAUUGAUAAUUGUAGGUUUUAUUAAAAAUAACAUUUGAGAGUUCCCUUGUGGUGCAGUGGGUUAAGGAUCUGGCGGUGUCACUGCAGCAGCAUGGGUAGCUGCGGUAGCCCAGGGUCGAUCCCCAGCCCAAGAAAUUCCACUUUAUUUUGGAGUUAUGAAGUUUUCUUUUGAAAUCUUCUCUAUUGGAUCAAACUGUAAAUAUUUGAGGUAGUAUAUAGUUUUUCAAGAAAUGACACAUAAACAAGUCUGUGAACACUUCCAAAAACAAACAUCACAAAGAGAGCUAGUCUGUAGAUUUCCAAAUCUUUCCAGAAAAUACAACUUUCUUGUAAAAUUAUAAGGGUUCCAUAAGUGUUGGUUGGCCUGAUUUGCCUGUGAAAAAAUAUUUUUAAAUGUCUUACCGUGUAUUUUGGAACAUAUAUACAAUAUGGGUUUCAGAUGUAUAAAUCCCGUUAGUAUGUAUAUUAAAAAACAAUCAUGUUUUUCCCUCAUUACUAGUAACUUUGCCAAAUAGUACAAAGGUUGUGCUGGAAAGGUAUUCCCUUCUCCAAAAAAAAAAAAAAAAAAAAAUUGUAAAGACGUUUUCCAAACUGAGUAGCAUAGAAUCAUUUCCACAGUUUACUGGGGAAGGAAACCAAAAAUUGUGUCAGGCCCUUUGCCGUCAACAGGAGAAAGGGCUAUCAGUAAUUACGAAGCUGUUGGAAAACAAAAUUAUAGGCCCCUCUGGGGUGUCAGGGUUUCAGUAGGAAAAGCUGUCUGGUCUGAGCCAAGCUUUGGCAGGACUCACCCCGGCUUAUUCUGCUUUCUCAGUGAAGAACCAUGUCCAAGUAUUCAUCUUGGCUCUCUCUGCAUUGAGUCAGUCUCUGACUCUUUGAUGCUUCCACUCUUUCUGUUGCAGUAGCCACAAGUCCCAAUCAUUACAAUUAUAAUUACCCAGAAUGAGCAUCUCGGUAAUAGGCACUUGAACAGUAUAAUUGGUAAGGUCAAAAUGCCAGUGCUGAAACGUUUCAUGAGAUGCCAUGAAAGGAAGACAUCCUCUAUGAAAAUGGGAAAGGACAGGAGAAUGGGGUCGGGGGCUCCCAAAUGCAUUUAGGCGAGCAUCCCUUGGGUUAGGGGUUUCAGAGAGCGAGAUGUCCUUUGCGUUGGGGAAGGGGCCGGGGGGCAGCCAUGGCUGUUCUUCUAAGGCCUCCUUGCUCACUUUUUCUCUUUGGAAGCGAUUCAUGUCCAGGAAGGGGACACUAAAGCUGAUUAAACUCUGAAUAGUCAUGAAUGUGAGCCGCCCCUAAAAUGGUCACCCGAACUAGAACUAAGGCUGCAACUCGGGCGGUAGGAGAGCCUCCUUCCUGUUCGUGGGUCCAGCUCAGAGCCCGCGUGCUCAAAUGUAGGUCAGGGCGUCAGGCGAGGGAAAGGACCGCAGACGGACACGGAGAUGCUCCACUUCACACACUUGCCCUCUGGAAGGACUGGCAGGGGCAGUCACUUAAAUUAAACCCAGGUCAUCAGGCAGGAUAUAUAAUCCAUUCCGAAAACAGACAAGUUGAGCAUCCCAAAUCCCUAUGGCCUUUUACGGAGGCACAUCCCAGUACCUCUUCGUGGUCCUCUGUCAAUUCACGUUAGCAUUGGCUGUGCUUAAAAGCCGUAUUUCAUGUAUGCGGUGACCCUCUUGCUCAAAGCAAAGAAACAGCUUUGGUUUAUUUAUGACCUACUAACCUUAAGAAAAACUGAAAUCCUCGGAGGUCCCACUGUGGCGCAGUGGGUGUGGAAUCUGACUGUAGCAGCAGUCUGGGUCACUACAGAGGCGUGGGUUCGAUCCCUGGCCUGGUGCUGUGGGUUAAGGAUCUGGAGGUGCCACAGCUGUGGGCGUAGGAGCUGCAUCUUGGAAUCAGCCCUCGGCUCAGGACCUUCCUUAUGCCAUGGGUGUGGCCAAAAACAAAAAAACAAAAACCUGAAAUAUUUAAUAUUCUCACAAGCCUAGGGAUGGAGAAAUCAAAGCUAAAAUAAAUCUGGCCUUGAUACAAGUUGAUCGUAUGCCACCCACACAACCCUCCAAAAUUAAGGUGAGAAGCAGAGGAAGGCAUUUGUCCAUAAAUGGCCUAUUGCUUGGGGCUGUUUUCAUUCAAGGAAAAUUAGGCUAGAAUUCAGAUCUGUGCCUUCCACUUAAAAUUUUGGAACCAUGAGAGCGUGUUCCCCCGAAAAUGGCACGACGCCCUUUCUUACAGGAACUGUAAAACCUCAGUACGGUUGAAUCUCAAUGUUCUAAAGAUAAAUAUUUUACAGCCAAGGGUUAAGUCAUGAAAAUAAAGAUAUGGAAGACAUAGGAUUAGCGAACAUAGUGAUUGAAAGCCAUGCUUGAAUUAGGGAAAAACUAAUAGAGCCAACAGAGCAAAGUAUGGAAUAAAAAUAAUAGAAACUAUAGAUCCCUAAAGUUUAUUCUCUUUUCUGACACUUAGGGUACCUACGAGAUCCUGUUCCAGUUGUGGAAAAUUUAAACUGCUCGGAGAAAAAGUAAUAAGGAAACAUUAAGCACCUCAAGAGGUCAACGAGCAAUGGAUCUGAAAAGAGAAGUCACCAAAAAAAUGCAGUUGAAACAGGUAAAUUACAUAUGAUGUAAAAUCCUGCUUCACUCCUAAAAAUUCAAAUUUAAAGCACAGAGAUGCAAUUUAUCUUUGGUAAUCCUAACUGAUAAAGGAAAGAACAGAGGCCAUAAUGCUGAAAGGACUGUCUUCAUACUACACAAUGUGUGAUUCUCUUUGGUUUUUGCUAAUUCUCAAUUCUAUGCUUGAUCAUACUGCCUGUUUUGAACAUGUGACCACCCUACCAGUGACUGAGCAGACCAGGGGCACACAUCUGUCCCAAGGGGAACUAAUUCAUAAACUUGGCAGACACUUUCCUAUUUUUUUCCUUGGGAACUUGAGCAAAAAGCCCACUAAAUCAGUCAGGAAGUACCAUCCUUUCAAAACAAUAGUUCAGCCCAAAUUAUGUUUCACUGGGAUUUAAGUGAAAUAUAAAGAUACGGUCUGAUAACAAGGUGUGUCCUCCCAGAUGCCAUAUUUGAAAGGAUGACACUAUAAUUUAAGUGAUUUGAGACUUGACUUUUCUUGUUCGUUAGAGAAAAUUACUUGGUUUUGUUGCUGCUUCAACCUGGCACCAAGAGCAAUGCUAAAGACAUGACGAGAGCUCAACAAACACUGGGUGAAUGAAUGAGCCUGAAACAUAGCCACUUGGCAAGCCAUGCCUUCUAUGAUGAAUUCAUACCAUACAAGGCUUUACAGCAGAUGCUGUGGGUCAAAGUUGAAUCUUGGCUAAAAGGUAGUUGCUGUUGUUGUGGUGGUGGUUUCCCCCAGAAAACUACACAUACAACGGUGGCAUUUAUUUCUAGCUUCCAGAAUGGAUUCCUAACAUUCACUUAUAAAUUUACUAUAUAUAAAUUGAACUACAAUAUUUCUUCGCAUCUAGUAAGCAGACCAGGAGUGGCAGACAAACCAUCACUAUACAAAAGAAUAAGAGAAAAAAGAAAGAAGGAAAAGAAGGAAGGAAGGAAAGAAGGAAGAAAGGAAGGAAGGGAGAGAGGAAAAGAAAGAAAGAACUCUGACCAUUAUGAUUUUAAAAUGCCAUCAAUUAUAAGACACAUCUCAGUUUCAGAGAUGUUAAAGUAUAAAACAGAUGUAUCUUUGAGUCAAUGAAAUAGUUAUUCCCAGAAAUCCACCAUUGGGGCUUUGCCUUCCUUCUAGUAAACAAUAAACACGAUUUAACUUGAAAAGAUAAUGCAAGUAAGAAAAAAAAGGAUGGAAAGAUUUUGAGAAUGGUUUUAAUUUUUACCCACCAUUGUCCACAAAUGAAAUGUAUGAUUUGAAAUUUUCAAGCAUUUUAAGGAGUUUCAAGGGUUGUUGUAGCUGUACACAAUUUUUAUCCCGUAUGCUGACUUUAAAACCUAACUUUUCCCUUGACUUUAAGGCAUGAAUAACCCUGGGUAUAAAAAAGAUUUGUCCUAAUUUCUAAGGCUAUCAGAUCUAGCUGAUACGAAGAGCUAGCCCUCAUCCAGCAGCCAAAGGUGUGUUUUUCCACACCCUUUCCUUUACUGACCAUGAUGGCAGCACAAGUCAAUAUAAUUUUAACCAGUCUUCAUCACAUUUUCCAAGUCGCUCCCCCAUCCUCUACAGAUAAAUUCUCUCAUUCUUCCAGCUCCUUCUGGGAAUACUUUCAGAGUCCUUUAAGCCGCCCCUCCUCAUGCAAAUUUUUCUGGAAAAUCAACACCAAAGUCAUAAGAAUAAAAGAUUCCACUAUAGUCCCUGCCUGACUGUCUCUAAGCCCAGGACAGACAGCUUGGACCCAGGCACAUGAAGCCUUAGCUAGUGGCGCCAAGGCACACAAAGCCAUUUUUAAGAUGCCUGUUCCAUGCUAUCAAUCCUCUUACCUUAGGCAACCCCCUCCUGCUGGUUAAGUGCUAACACAUGCUUUACAACUGCAGGAGGGGGGGAUAUGGUUUACAGAUUAAAAUUAGAGGCAGAAUUAAAUUGCUCGAACACAGCAAAAAAGGAGAGGGCAGUGAAAGGGUGGAGAAGACAAUUGGGUUGUGCCAAUGCUCACACACACUUAAUUCCAAGACCUGGAUUUCCAUAAAUUCCCACUGGAAUCCACGGAUUCGGGUUCCACUUUCAUCACCGAGAGUCCCUUUCAGAGCACAAACACAGAGACCCUGUCAAGGAACAUGCAGCCCCAUGAAAAUGCACGUUCCAAACUUGGAUUUUACAGCCAUGCAAGAUCGCUGAGUCAAAUACCAGAGCCCCCUUUCAGAGAGCCAAGUGGAGUAAUUUAAUGACUUCUAAUGACAUGUGUAACUUUUCAGGCUACUCUAAUAAGAGUAAUCAGAUCUUGGGCUGCAGGGUGUAACCUGAUCACCUGUGCUUUUCAGAAAAGAAUUUCUGCAUACAGGGACAGCACUGCCUGCACAGAGGGCCAAGCACAUUACUGGUCACGUCAGAGGGAAGAGGAGGAGCGAUCACCUCCAAAUCAUUAAGUGCCUUUUGCAACGGGUAAGCACAGCAGUGAAGAUAGAUGGAGCUUAAUUAAAUAAAAAAUGGCAGCUGCUGCCUGAAAAUUAAGACCUAAACCAGGGGAAAUGGAAAUGAAUAAAUGUAUAAUAUGUAGUUCCUGGGUUAGAAGACAACGUCACAACAUUCAAAGUUGUGUACUCUUCCAUUCAACAGGUGUGUGUGGCAAGCCUAUUUAUGUCCUGGCAUUUCGUGAGUGCUGGGCAGCAUCAUGGAAACCACGGUCACCACCUCCUGGGUACUUGAGGUCAAGUAGGCAGAGAAAUACUCAUCAUAUAGUUUGCUAAUGAGAGGGCUCUAAAGUAAAGGGCUAGAGAAUAUAAGGUAGACCACUGGAACUUAAAAAAAGAGAGAGGAAAACACACACGCUCAUAUGUAUGGGAAUAUUACGCAGCCAUAAAAAAGAAUGAGAUAAUGCCAUUUACAGCAACAUGGAUUGCCCUAGAGAUUAUUAUACUAAGAGAAGUCAGAGAAAGACAAAUGUUGUAUGAGAUCCCUAACAUGUGGAAUCUAAUAAGAAAUGAUACAAAAGAACUUAUUCACAAAACAGACACAGACUCAAAGUUUUCAAAACCAAAGUUAUGGUUUCCAAAGGGGAAAUGGUGGGGAGAGGUACAAAAUGGGAGGUUGGGAUUGACAUAUACACACGACUGUAUAAGGAACGGAUGAGUAACGGGAACUACUACAUAGCACAGGGAAAUCUCCUCAAUACCCUGCAGGGACCUAUGUGGGAAGAGAAUCUGAAAAGGAAUGGAUAUAUGCAUAACUGAUUCAUUUUGCUCUACACCUGAAACUAACACAACAUGGUCAGUCAAUUCUACUCCAAAAAAAAUUUGUUUUAAAAAGAGAGAAAGAAGAUCAAGGCUGAGUCUUCCUAACUUGCAAAGCAAGGGAAUGCAAAGCAGUGAAGAAAUUCACUAGGUCAUUCACGAACAAGGAAAAAUAUGGGUUUUUUGAGAGCUAGGGAGGGCUAUUCUUGGUCAUGUGCUAAGUCAGGACUGAAAACUCUCUCUCUGGAUAAGAGGAUGAAUGAACUCAAGAUCUAUCCAUGCUUGGGCAUGACACACCUCAUUGUUUAUUGACCAGUAAAGGGUCCUCGGGUCCUGUAGGGGUUUGGUAUAUGAAGGUCAUUCAAACUGCAUUGUCUUCUACAAGUUUCAGCUGCUUACACCUAUUGUGGAAGCAUUUUGUUUUGGUAUCUUCCAGACAAGUGCUGCUCUGCUGGAAAAAUUUCCCUUUGCAGAUGUAAAAGAUCACUAGUAAAGGAGUUGAGGAUAUGCCAUCAGAGAAAGGAGACAGAGCACCCUAGGCAGAGAGAAUACUACGUGUGGACGCCGAUAGUGGACUCAGAAAGGCAGGCCAAGGAAAGCCUAGAGGCUAGCAUGGUAUGGAUGAAACCAAGCCUGCAGGGAGCUCCUGUCCCUUGAGAUGGAGACAGUGGCCCAUGGUCAGCGCAUCUAAGAAUAUAUAAGCCGUGUAUGGUCUACUGUCCUAAGAGCAAUAGGAAUCCACCGAAGGAUUUUAAAACCAAGAGUAGGAGUGGCCGUUGCAGGUAGUGGAUGAUCUGGUGGGAUUUCAAAAAACAUCACUCUGGUUAUCCUUGGAAGAUGACCUGAUGGGUUUGCUAGCUGAGCAGCUGAUACACCACAUAGGAGGCAAUGAUCGUUCAGGAGAUGAAGGAAUUAUAAACAGAGACAUUCCCAAUAAAGCUGAGUGAUUUUCACAACGAGCGUGCUAGUGUGAGGGGAAAUAAUUCAUGGAUACAACACUUAACCCAUGAUCCAAAGUUUUCCAUCUUAGAAACCUACAUUGGCAACCUCUAAAAUGGGCCCCAGAGACCCUCCCUGACAGAUAUUUGUACUCUGUGUAGUUCCCAUCUCUUAGGUUACCAAAAAUAAUUGUAUUUUCUCCUAUGGCAGUUCUCUCUUGCUUUCUCCUGGAUCAUGGUCUCUAAGGAGAAACACCUGCUGCAUCAUGAGACAUUUGUGUGAAAAGUCGCCUGUGGUGAGGGACUGAGGCCACAGCUACUGAAGAAAGCUUGCAGGUGGAUCCCACCAUAGUUGGGUCUGGAAAUAACUGAGGAUGGACCAACACCUUGAUUGCAGCUUCACAGGAGAUGCUGAGCCAGAAGAGCCCUUCCGAACCUCAUGAGAUGCCUGACCCUGCAAACUGUGAGAUCAUAAGUCUUCAUUUUUUUUUUUGGUCUUUUUGUUUUUUUAGGGCCACGCCUGUGGCAUAUAGAGGUUCACAGGCUAGGGGUCUAAUGGGACCUGUGGCCUCCAGCCUAUGCCACAGCCACAGCCACAGCCACAGCAACACCAGAUCUGAGCCACAUCUGUGAUCCACACCACAGCUCAGGACAAUACCAGAUCCUUAACCCACUGAGCAAGGCCAGGGAUCGAACCUGCAUCCUCAUAGGUGCCAGUAAGGUUCACUAACUGCUGAGCCAUGAUGGGAACUCCAAUCUUCAUUCUUUUAAGCUUCUAAGGCCUGGGGUGACUUGCUACACAGCAAUAGAUGAUUAAUGUGGAAAGCUUUUUGGUGAAACAAGCCACUCGCCCUUCUUAUGUCACUUUCAUCAUUUUUUAAAUCUCCUGACCCACUUCCUUACACUUCUCUAUUUUAUACCUUUUCGUUUUUCUUACUAACUUUUUUCUUACAAUGUUAUUUUUAUAGCAGUCAGUGUACAGAUAGACAUAACAAAGUUUAAGCCAAAAGUUUUAAUGGUUCAGAGGCUGAUACAAGAAAAAAAAAAUUGAGAUGUGAGUUUUUAUAAAUUCACCUCUGCUAUAAUCUAGGAGAUAUUUUGCUUUGGUAAAUUCUGCACUUUUAAAGAAUAGAUAGGCUUAAUGUGUAAAGUAUAUUUAUCUUCUCUGCUUUGUUCAUUUGUAGUGAUUUUUGGUAAAAAUUAUGCUUGUACUUUUUUUUUUUUUGUCUUUUUAGGGCCACACUUGCAGCAUAUGGAAGUUCCCAGGCUAGGGGUUGAAUCGGAGUUGUAGCUGCCGACUACGCCACAGCCACAGCAAUGCAGGAUCCAAGCUGCAUCUGUGACCUACACCACAACUCACAGCAAUGCCAGGUCCUUAACCCACUGAUCGAGGCCAGGGAUUGAAGCUGCGUCCUCAUGGAUGCUAGUCAGAUUUGUUUCUACUGAGCCACAAUGGGAACUCCUACUUGUACAUUUUAAGUAAAAAUAACCAUCCUCAGAGUUUUGAUGAAAGUAUAUAAUAAUAAAAGAAAGACCUUUUGGUGUCUCAUUUGGGUACUACAAAAAAGAAUGAACGUUGGCCAUGUAUAGAAUAUGAACUUAACUUAUUCCCAUGAAAAUCUUGCCCACUGGAUACUAGAGGGCUUUAGUCUUCAGUAAUUUCCUUCUAUUCCUACUCCUAUCCACAGUAUUUCUGAGAGGUUCCAGGAGAUCUCACAGAUGCCAUCAAACCUGACACUAUGCCAGCCGCCUUUUCCUACUUUUUCUUUCUACUGAAUUAUAAACACUCCCAUUUAGCAUCACUGUUCUUUUGGCUGCAUGCAGUUGCCCUCAGCAGGGACUGCUUCCUCCUGCUGACAGAGCAAUCUCUUUGGGCAACAGCCAUCUGGCUGCCAAGUUCUACUGCCUCUGGGUACCAGGAUUCCCCGGAGCGCUGAUGCAAGCUGCCAGAGCUGCCAAUGUGGAGGACUUGGAGAGACGGUCAUCUAUCAGUGUAAGGUUCUGGUGACGUGGUACCAGGGAACUGCCUUCUUUCUAAUAUCAUCUAAAGCCUUCAUGGAACAGUCCCUUCUGUUUAUUCAGAGGAUCAAGCCUCCAUCCACAAGGGGAACCCACAGACUCAUCUACACGUCAAGCAUCUUGCUAAAUUCAGAACUGCCCCUCAUGUGAAGGCUAAGAUGUUAUGAUUGGGCUCUAACUAAAAAUACUUUUCCCCCCUCCUUCUUCUUAGAAUGAAGCUGCCUGUAAGAAAGCGUCUCGGUUUCUCAUACAAUAGAUUCCUAGGAAGGCAUGACCAGAAUCAACUAAAGCAUAGCCAAGGGAACUACACAAUAUCAAACUAGGCUCGCCCAGCAUCAAAGGAAAGUCAUCCUCUACUCAUUCAUGUCCUUCUGUUAACAACAACAACAAUGGCAAACACACACACAAAUUAAUAAAUGGCUCAAGAUUUCAUGGUAAAGGCUCUGAAUUUAAAAACGGGUAGGUCUAUGUUUCAGCCCAAUUCUACCACAAACUGCUUCUUUAGUACAAGUCAGACUGAAUACUCUUCCUGAAUCUUCCAGGCCAAAUGAUUGCCUCAUCUCUAAAUAAAAUUGCUGAAAGAUCCGGUCUCUAAGGUCCUUUGUAACUCUAAUCGACAGCUGAAUUGAGGGAAAAAAAAGACAAUCUGGCAAAAUUAUUUAGCAAAAAUAUGAUUUCUCUUAGAAACUUCGUGUUACAUAUGUGUUUAUUGAUGUUGGGAUUUUUUUUUAAUGCUCAUCAAUUUUUUUACUUUUUCCAAAUAUUCAACUGAAAUACAAGUAGAGGGGAAAGCAUUUGUUUGUUUAUAUUAAUAAUCAGUUGAUUCAUUUAAAAUAUGUAAGCAUUCCCAUUGCAGCUCAGCAGGUUAAGAACCUGACAUAGUAUCCAUUUGGGUUUGAUCCCCAGCCUUGCUCAGUGGGUUAAGGAUCUGACAUUGUUGCAAGCUACAGCAUACACUGCAGGUAUGGCUUAGAUCCAGUGUGGCUGUGGCUAUGGCAUAGGCAGUGGCUGCUGCUUUGAUUCAGUACCUAACCCUGGAACUUCCAUAAGCCCCAGGUGCAGCCUUAGCAGAAGAAAAAGAAAAAAAAGAGGUAAAAAUAUGUAGAUGAGAAAAGGAAACUUCAAAGAAAACUAAAAUGCACAUUAAGGCAGCACAAGUACAAACAGGCGGGAAAGAAAUGAUAAUAAAAGCAACAAGAAUUAGGGUCACUCUGAUGGUUUCAUCUCAUUUUCAGUCUUGGAGGAAGUCAGUGGCUGGUUAUUGUUUUUGCUGUUUUUCUUCACGCUGGUAAUUCUCAAUGAGGUGGAAAUCUCAUUACUAGCCAGUUAGGAAAAAAAGGCGUGGGGGACACAGACUCAGGCUCCUGAUUUAAACACUGGCGUGACGCUGGAUUUGACACUUGUGUUGUUAACUUGCCUUAUACUACGAGUGCCCACAACACAAAUAAAACACACCGAUACGUAUGUAUGUAAACCAUCAAGAAGCACAGUGUCAUUGCUGGUAUUUAUGUGACCUUGUACAGCAUUCGCCCAGGGGCACAGUGUCCUUGGGGAACAGCAACGUUACGUCUUCUAUUUUAUUUGACUCAAUGCUGUCAGAAGGGAACACCAGCCAUGAAGAGCCAAGUGGCGAUCUGAUUCCACACGAACUUGCUUCUCCUUGCAACUCAUCACUGCAAUUGCAAAAACAAGACCACAAAACAACACACAUCCAGUAGCAGAGCAAAACUGAUCAAACAGAGAACUGUCACUCACAUUCCAAAAUCUUUGCAGAAUUCCUUUGCUAAAUACAGGCGGGUGAGCCUGGCUUGAAGGAAGGGCUGGUACCUUCAGACAGGCAGAUGGGGAAUGCAGAGCCUCCAACCCCAGUGAAAGGGACUUUGGCAACAUCUAAUAGAGUGAUAUAUCUAUUAGUUCUCUGAUUCGCAAGCUCACUUCGAGGACUCUAUUCCAAAGAUCUAUUGAAAACAGCAUGCAAUGACUUAACGUGCCGUUAUUUAUUAUAAGAUCAUUGAAUGCCAACAUAUUUAGGCAUUACAAAAUGGUCUUCCAUGGGGGAGAGGGGGUAACACAAUGAAUACAUGGCGCCUGUGCCUCGUAACGAAAUAACAGGAUGUGUAAAAAGAAGAGAGGAAAAUUAUCAACCACUGCAAAGGUGAAAGCUCCUGGAUGUUUUGUACUGUGAAAAAAGUUUAGUGGAGACUGUGUUCUAUUUUAUACUACACGUGGCGUUAGAACACGUUAGGCAUGUUAUGAACUGGAACAUCUUUGCAAAAAAAACACUAGAAAGCUAAACCAAAAGCAGAAUGGUGGCCUAUAAGGAAAGGCAGUACGUGUGGAAGGUAGACUUCUUGAAAUAGGUCUUUUGUAUGUAUUUACAACCUUGUAAACACAUAGUGUUACAUAUGUUUUACAUAUUCAAAAAAUUAACUUAAAAAUAUGAAACAGCAAUUUAUACAAUUAAAAAAUGAACUGAAAUGAACGAAGCUAGGUGCCCAUCUAUUGGUAGAAAAAAUAAUUUGGGGGUGUGAGUUUAUAAAAUAUAUAAUGUUAUUAUAAUAGAACUGCCUUUGCAGAAUGUAUAUUAGGGACACAUAAAACUAUAAACAAGUGUUCAAUUUCAUUCCAUGGUUUAAUUCCUCAAAAACACUGGCAUUAGGGAACUAUUUUAUAUAAUUCUAGAAUAAUAUCAGGUAUAACAGUACAGAAUACUGUUAACGUUAUUAGAACCAAGAUUUUCAGUGUCAGUGAAGAGAAACAGAUAUAAAAUAAAUAAUUUAGUCAAAAAUCAUGUGAUGCUAUAUCUGAACUGCAAAUAGUGUACAUACAUGUCUUUACCAUCAUGUAUGUAUGUCACAGUUUAGUCCACGGCAAAAACCUGGAAGCAGUGACCGUCAUGGUAAAUUGCAUUGUUUGUUCCAGCCAUUCUCUGUCCUUCUCCUGGAUGCACUGGCCUUUCAGCUGCCCCUUCCCAUAUGGGGGGAGUAAGCUUUCCAGGGUGAGAAGAUUCACAGCUUGGAGAAAUGGCCCUGUGAGGUGCAAGGUAUUCAGCUCAAAGGGAGGAGGCCGAGUCAGUAGAAGGCCCAACAGUUCAGGGGCCUAAUUUAAAUGGGGAGGGGUAGUUUGAGGUUCACAUACUUUGAGGUAGGGAAGCAGAACCAGGAAAGACAGUUUUUUCUUUUUCUUUUUUGCCUUUUCUAGGGCCGCUCCCAUGGCAUAUGGAGGUUCCCAGGCUAGAGGUCGAAUCAGAGCUGUAGCCACUGGCCUACACCACAGCCACAGCUAUGCAGGAUCUGAGCCACAUCUGCAACCUACCCCACAGCUCACAGCAACGCCAGAUCCUUAACCCACUGAGCAAGGCCAGGAAUCGAACCCACAACCACAUGGUUCCUAAUCGGAUUCAUUAACCACUGAGCCACGACAGGAACUCCAAAAGACAGUUUUCAAUGUUGCCAGGGGGAAAACAUGAUUUUUUUUCCAAUUAUCAUCCGAGGAGGGAGUAGGUCACAAGGGUGGGUUUAUUCCCAGGGUGUGGGGAUGAAGGCGCCAUCAUUAACCCUUGAUGAGGGGUCUCCUAGUGGAGCUUUAAUGGUCACAGUUGCCAAGCUCUCAUCAAAAAUGCUGUCUCUCUUCUGAAUUCUUCUUCUCUCCCAUUUCUUUACUCACAGGGCUAAUUCUCUGCUAAGACCAUGGGUAAAUUUAGGUUGUUCUAAAUUAUGUACUAGGUAUUAUGCGCUGGGCUCUAGGAAUAUCAUAUUUGAUGGAUCAAAGACAACUGAGUGAAUCGGGAGUUAAAUUUUAAAUUGCUGCCAUGGCCUCUUUGUUCCAUGGAAUGGACUGGGCUUUCCAGUCGUUGGGCAGGUGGCCUGGGUUCCACGUGCUCUGCUGGGGCUCUGGAGCACGAGGGAUUCCUGACCGUCAUGAAGGUACUGAAGGAACAGCCUCCAUCCUGGUGGAAGGCAACUGGGGAUGCAUAUGGUGAAGAAGAAACUAAAAUUCACUUAGGCACUUGGCAUGAGAGCCCUUUGAUGAGCAGGGAGGAGAAAAAGAACAAAUAAAUCAGGGAAGAUGAUCUUGCACAUACUGUACUUUCACUUCUUGGCUAGCAAAAAACACAUAAAUUUAAUCAGAGGUUUAGUUAUGUUCCUAAAGAAAUAAAUCCCCGAAAUAAGUGAACCCUGAGCCCGUUUUUGUCAAUAGAACAUGGCUCAAAAUGUGUUUUUUAUUGUUGUUGUUUGUGUGUUGGCCUCACUCCUUGGGCCAGAGACUGAAGCCAUGACCCAGCAGUGACCUGAGCCACAGCAGUGACGAUGCAGGAUCCUUAACCCACUGCACCACCAGGGAACUCUAUCAAAAUGCGUUUGAACCAAUUUUAACAUAUAAACUUUCAAGAAAUGAAUACAUUUUAACUGCAUACUAAACACAUCUAAUUUAUCUUUUAAAUCACCUGUCAUAUAUUUGCACACAACACAUUAAAAUCCUAGGACACACAUUUGGUGGGCCAAGUUUAGGAAGUUUCCCUCUACGGCACUGUCUUUUUUCUCAGGUGGACUCUGCAUCCCACCAGACCCCAGCCUGACACCUCCACACACAUUGUAUUUUUAAAUUUCACAAUUUCCAAUAUAAAAAUGGAUCACAGCAAAGCCUUGAAGGACCAGUCUUACUCGGUGAUUGUUUUUGAAUAUCUUAAAGCACUUGAUAUUUAAUGAGGGUAAGAUUUUAAGGUCCUAGAUGGAAUACAGACUCUAACUCCUCUUACUGCUGAGGGUUCUCUUUCCAGAUCUGCUGUAUGCUUUGAGACGGAGUUCUGAUGCAGUAGGUGUUAUGAUGUCAUAGCUACCAAAACAUACCCUCCCGCCCAACCCAGCUUGGCAAACAGAAGGGGGCCCAGAGUAACCCCUAAUAUCUUCAAAUUCCAAAAUCUUAGGGCACACUUCUGGUUGAUUUAGGCAACAUGAACCAAUCAACAGUCACAAUCUGAUUGGCUAAUGAGGCAGAAUCCUAUAAACCCAUGACUAAUCCAACAGAAAUCCCAUAAGUAAGACUGUGAGAAGGACCACUAUCCAGAAGAAGGAUGAAGAGGGCAGGAUAUCCAUACGGAAGAGCAUCUAGGUAGAGGAAACACCCCAGUGGCAAAGUCAUGGAAUAGGCUCUUUGAGAAAAUAAGUUGAGUGGUUUACAAACUGAAUGCUUUGAAGACAGGCCCAUCUUCAUAGACAGCAGUGACUUUUGUUCAGAUGGUCUAAUUCCAGAUUAACAAAGUCAGAAUACAUUCGUUCUCCAUCUUCCUAGAAAGCCUAAAUUUUCCACAGCUAUUGAGAAUUUGGUUCAGGUAAAUUUUCUCUUUUCAAAGUUCAUAAAGAUAAGUGCAAAGCUGGGGAAUUCUAAGUCAUGCCAUUAUGCAUUAUUAAUAACUUCCCUCACAUUAGUAUCUUAGAUUAGCUGAACUGUCAAGGAAAAACUUGUACGGAAUGAAUUUAUACAGCAAGAAUUUGGGUACCUAUUUUCCUGAUGCAGUGCCUAGGGAAAAUAGGAAAUAAAGUUUACAGUCCAAUGGAAAAAAAAAAAAAAAAAAACAUCAUCAUCCCUAGAAAGAAUAACUCAGAAAACACGGGCCACCUGGUAAGGAGGAACAGACCUGGUUACCUUCCCACAUGCAUGUAGUGGUUAAAUGUCAGGUGUCCUGAGUUGAGAGUAUCAGGUUUGGAUCCAGUGAUAAGAGUUUGGGCAAGUUACUCCACACUUGGCUUCAGUGAACUCGCCUAUUAAGCUACAUGGGUUUUUUUUUUUUUGUUUUUUUUUUGUUUUUUUUUUUUUUGUCUUUUUGUCUUUUGUUGUUGUUGUUGUUGUUGUUGCUAUUUCUUGGGCCGCUCCCACGGCAUAUGGAGGUUCCCAGGCUAGGGGUCUAAUUGGAGCUGUAGCCACCGGCCUACGCCAAAGCCACAGCAACGCGGGAUCCGAGCCGCGUCUGCAACCUACACCACAGCUCACGGCAACGCGGGAUCGUUAACCCACUGAUCAAGGGCAGGGACCGAACCCGCAACCUCAUGGUUCCUAGUCGGAUUCGUUAACCACUGCGCCACGACGGGAACUCCGUUACAUGGGGUUUUAAAAACCGCAUGGAAUUGUGAAUUUAAAUAAAGAAUACAUGCAAAAUACAGAGCAGUGCCUAGCAUAUAAUGAGACUUGAAAAGUAUUAGCCAUUGCUACUCGCCGUCAUCGUAGGCACGCAAAAGCAGCCAGUUUCCAGAAGCAAUGGAGACACUAAAAGGAACGCGAGAUUUCAAGCAUCUGCGAGGGACCAGUGGUGAUAUUCACAUACAGUUUUCCAUUUCUGUGUCGGACCCUCUCAACUGCAAAAUUGGUCCAGGUGCUAGGAUGCCCAGAGCCUCACAGGUCGAUUUUGAGGUGGAAUUUUGAGGAUGCUGUCCGGCGGUGGGAGCAAAGCCUUAUUAGUCAGUGCAGUGCAGAAGUCAGUGUUUAUAAUUUGGGCACUUUCCCCUCUGUGUUUACUCAAGAACUCCUUUGACCUAAAAUCUAAAAUGGCAGUUACUUAGCCAAUCCAUGGGAAUUUUGUAUGCAUCACGUAAAAGAAAAUAAAUGAUACAGUAGUUCCUCCAUUAUAGGAUGGGGAUACAGUGUAAACACACACACACACCACACACACACACACACACACACACACACACAUUAGCUUGGGGGCUGCAGGAAUAAGAUUUAAGUUGAGCUAAAGCCUUAGUAGCUGUAAUGAUGCACCAGUCACAUACUUUUCCAAUUCUUAGUUUUUCUUAGGGGCAACAUAAAAAUUGGAUUAGCAUCAAUUGUUUGUAAGACCAUUCAGUUAAAGCAAAUCUUACCAGGAAGCCUCGUAAGGCAUGAGGGAUGCUACUUUGAUUAAAAUGGAGAAGAGACGGUGGAAUGCUGAAAAUUCAGAUCUCCUCCUCCUGGUUGCUGAGUGGGUCCCUGGAGCAGUUACAUAACCUCUGGACAAAAGCGUUCCCCAGGUCUUUUCUGUUUUUAGACAAGUAUUUCAGCUAGAGGACCUACUUCACCGAAGCUGAGCUCCAUCAGUGUACCACAGAAAUUGUUUACUACAUCUUUUUGCCUCCUCUGUUCUCUUUUGUAUACUUUGCUGUCUCUUUUUUUUUUUUUCUUUUCUUUUUUAUGGCCAUACCUGCAGCAUAUGGAAGUUCCCAGGCCAGGUAUUGAAUCCAAGCUACAGCUGCGGCAACACGUGAACCUUUAACCCACUGCCUCCAGCUAGGGAUCGAACCUGCCCCUCCACAAUGACCCGAGCCACUGCAGUCAGAUUCCUAACCCACUGUGCCGUAGUGAGAACUCCAACUUUGCUUUCAGGCUCCUUAAGAUAUAUUCUUAAAAAUGUCUUGAUUGAAUGGAGAUAGGAGUUCCCAUUGUGGCUCAGUGGGUUAAGGACCUGAUGUUGUAUCUGUGAAGAUGCAGGUUUGAUACCAGGCUCCACUCAGUGGGUUAAGGAUCUGGCGUUGCCACAAGAUGCAGCAUUGGUUGCAGAUGCGGCUUGGAUCUGGUGUUGCCAUGACUGUGGCAUAGACCAGGAGCUGCAGCUCUGAUUCAACCCCUAGCCCAGGAACUUCCAUAUGCCCCAGGGGUGGCCAUAAAAAGGAAAAAAAAAAAGGAGAUAGAAUAGUCAGUAAACUGCUAUCAAGAAACCUUUUUAAAGUAUGAUAAAAAUGCAUAUGUAUUCAUAUUAAGUAAUCAUUAAUGGAUCACUCUCAAAAAUUAGUGGAUUGCUCUCACUUUUCUGGGCUAAACAUGGCACACAUUUCUUGAUGCCAAUAAGAAGGCACCAUUCUCUCGUGUUUGUGUUUGUGGCUUUAUGACAAUUAUGAAAACUAUUGCUUCUGAUCUAGGCUUUCAGGGCUGGGAGGGAACAACCUGGACUUGAAGUCGAAAGCUGGUUUUAAGUCCAGUUUCUAUCUCUUGCAAGUUCUAUGAAAUUUAAUCAAAUUGGUAAACGUUUUGAGCCACACGUAUAGAUAAAUAAUAUCUGUCACAGCAUGUAAUUGACAUUCCAACCACCAUACUUUCUUUUAUUAAAUUUAAUCUGAUUGGCGCAUGGUUGACUUACAAUGUUGUAUUUGUUUCAGGUGUACAGCAAAGUGCAUCAGUCAUACAUAUAAAUAUAUCCGUUCAUUUUUCCCAUGCAGGUUAUUACAGCUAUUGAGUAAAUGUCCCUGUGUGCUACAAUAGGUUCUCAUUAGUCAUCUAUUUUAUAUAAUAGUGUGUAUAUUUUAUCCCCACCCUCCCAAUCCCGACUUUCCCCCAACAUUUUCACCUAUGAGAACCACAAGAUUGGCUUGGAGCUCUGUGAGCUUGUUUUUGUUUUAUAAAUAAGCUUGUUUCUUGAUCAUCCUCUUGGUUUAUUCUCUCGCUUCCUUUGUCAACCUUUCCAGCUGCUUUGAUGGUACCUCCUCCUCUUCCUCACCUCUUUUCCUUCCAAUCCCCGUCCCCCCCAAGCCCAGAUCGUGGGCAUCUUCUCUCUUUGUAGGAUUCUCUUGUUGAUCUCCACCUGCCCAAAGGCUUUGAAUAAUAUCUAUAUCCUAGUGAUUCUAAAAAUUAAACUCCAGCCCAGCCCUCAUUCCUCACUCCAGACUUACGCAUCCAAUUGCAUACAUGACUUUGCCCCUGGAAGGCCCAAUAUACAUCCCACUUUCAACAGGUUCCAAAACAGUGUCCUAGAUUUUUCACCCCAAACCUGCUCUCAGCCCUCGUUUCCUUUGGCUACUUGUCUCUAGUUUUCAUAAGGCAAAGAGAGCAAUCCUUUUGAAAUACAAAAUGAAAUUAGCCCCUUCUAAUAGAGGACAUGAUUUAUAAAUAUGCAUUUUCCCUUUUCCACAACUAGAAUGUAAGCUCCUUGAAUGCAGAGAGAUUUGUUUCUUGACGGAUGUGGAAGUGCACUAACAGCCAGGAACAAUGCUUAGGACAGAGCAGGAAAUGAGAAAAAACUUUGAUUGACUGGGAGGUCCCACUGUGGCUCAGUGAAUUAAGGGCCUGAGGUUGUCUGAGGAUGCAGGUUCAAUCCCUCUCUUCCCGCAGGGGGUUAAGGAUCUGGCUUCUUGCUGCAGGCUGUGGCAUAGGUCACAGAUCCAGCUUGGAUCUGGCAUUGCCAUGGCUGUGGCAUUGGGCUGCAGCUGCAGCUCCGAUUUAACCCCUAGCUUGGGAACUUCCAUAUGCCACAGGUGCUGCAUUAUAAGAAGGAAAAAAAGUUGGUUGACUCAACGAAGAUUGAAUGAAUAAGAAAACACAAACCUUGACGUAAUUUUGUGAAGCUUAAAUAAAAUAAUCUACCCCAGAGCCUGACACAGAGAACAUACUAACCAACUAUGGCAGUUCUUUUUUUUUUUUUUCUUCAUGUUUUAAAGUUUUAUUGAAGCAUAGCUGAUUUACAAAGUUGUGAUAAUUUCUACAGUACAAUAAAGUGAUUCAGUUACACAUAUACACACAUCCAUUCUCUUUCAGAUUCUUUUCCCACAUAGAUCAUUACGGAAUAUUGGUUAGAGUUCCCUGUGCCGUACAGCAGGUCCCCAUUGGCCAGUUAUUUAUGUAUGUCUGUGUUCAUGUGCUAAUCUGAUAUUUAUUUGGGGGACUGGGAUUAGCAAAUAUGGUUGUUCCUGAGCAAAUUGCUCAGAGUAAAUUCUGCGUAUAUUGAAUCACUAAAUCUACUCUCUUUAGUAUUUCCAUGGAGUUUCCUAUAUAAAAUUCUAUAUGCAUCCUGGAAAUGAUUGGGUAGCACCAAGGAAAGAAUUCGAGGCACUUUUGUUUAUCAAGUCCCAUGCUCGUUUGUAUGACAAUAACAUUUUUAUGAAAAGAGUUUUCAUGAGCAUUUUCUCAAAGCAAGAUAAGGUGUACUGUCAUUUUUCUGCCUCGGGAUAAAUAGAGCAUCUUCUUAGCUGUCUUGCAGGCUGUCUUUAUCCAGACUUACUCAAAAGAGUGUCUCUCGAAAAAUCAUCACACUUUAUUUUGAAGAUUCUUAAGAAGUAACUGUCACACAUUUCUUACCAGUGUUUCAUGAGGGGACUAACAAAGAAGCUAAGUUCACAUUUUGCAGCUAAGAAAAAAGACCUCAAAUCAAGCCAACUGCUCAGUUCCUUUAGGCUUGUGAUAGGCAAUGCUUGUCAAAUCAUAGGGAUUAUCAUAACUACGCCUAUCUCAAUUGGCUUGUCGAACCAUGGGACUUGUCAUGACCAGUCAUAACCACAGACCUUUGGUUUCCCAGCUAGAAACACAGUUACUCUCCCUGGCACAUGCAGAACUUUUAAGCAAGACUCAAAUUCCCAUGUUUAUUUUUGGUAUCAACAUAACAUGGACAGAACAUAUGUUCUGAAAAAGAAUGAUCAAGAACAAUCUUUGCAGCUAUAAUAGAAAGAUGCCCCCUAAACCACCAGGCACCAUCCCUUUUCUACCAUUACACGUAUUUAGAGCUGAGGGUGCAGAAGGUAUCAACACAUGGAAAACCAGGUUUUGAUCUAAAACACCCCAUUUUAAAAAAAGGACGUUUAUCAUCCGUUUAAAGGGUAGUGAGUUAACAAGGCCCCAGUGUGAACACGGCUGCCUGUGGGGUAGGAGGUUUAUAGCAGUGUCACUUCCAGCUGACAGCAGGUGCUGCUAAGGGUGUCAGUCUAAAGACCUGAUUCAUUAAGUUCUGCUGCUCCGGUGCUGUGCUCUUAGGACAAGAAAAACAAGAAGGAACAGAGUGUCUUUUAUAUUUAACCUAUAAAACUUAACACUCGGACCUCAACCAUAUAAACCAGAAGUGAAAGAGGCAAUUGCAAAUCUGACCAAUAAAACGGGUAAAUCACUUAUAUGCUGAGAUUAGAAUGAGAUGUCUAGGUACACGGGGGAGAGAACCAUUUGCAAAUACCUCCGGGGAGGUGACUCCAGAACUGGUAGAGCCCACAUUCCCUGCAGCGUUUCAGAGGUCGGUGAAAGAUUGGCAGGCUUCCGGGGGCAACAUUCCAGGCUUCCUUGGAAAAAGCUGGUUUGUUGGAAGGACUGGGGAAACGUUGGGGGGUAGAAAGAGAUGAUAAGGGAGGGCUCCUCUGUCACAGGGAGAAGGUAGCCUCUCCUGUCUCUUGGUUUCUUUCCACCUCAAGUCUGAAAGACCCAGGUAUGUUCUAGGAAGAAAGAACAUACCUGUGAGUAGAGAUGAGAAAACUACCUUAUACUAAAAUGCAGACACAGGGCACAAGGGAUGCCACUCUGGAGUGCAUGGCGAGAGCACUGGGAUGUGGAGGUGGAGCGGAGGAGAGGGCAGUGGAUGGAAAGGAGUGUCCAAGGGAGAAGGAACCCCACAGAACAUUGCUAUAAUCAUUUCUUCUUGGAGGAAGAGAGGUGAUGCUAACCCUGGAGUCUAGAAGGUAGUUUAAAAUUACUCUUUCAAGUUUUUCAUCUACUUAACAAUAAAAGUCAAAAUAAACCUGUCCAUGACCCGGCAAUUCCACUCGUAGGCCUUUUUACCCAAGAGAAAGGAAAACACAUUUUUACAAAAACGCACAUACAAGAGUGUUCAUGGCAGGUUUAUUCCUAAUAGGCAGGAGCUGGAAGCCACCCUGGUGAUUGUUCACUGGCCAAUGAAGAAGUAAACCGGUGUGGUCCUGCCAUGGAACACUCACCAGAGAUGGGGAGGAAGGAGCUCGAUGUAUGCAACAACAUUGGAUGGGGUUGGAAGCCACGACCCCUGGGCUGCUACCUGUGUUUGUGAAUAAAGUUUUAUGGGAACAGCCGCACCCAUUUGGGUUAUGCAGAUCAAUGCCAUUUGUGUAUCUAGAGUUUGGCUACAUUCUGGCUAUACCAGCACAACUGAGUAGUUACAGGGGGGUGUAGGAUGCUUAUUCUUUGGUUGAACCUGGCCCAUGAACCAAAAUGCUAUCCUUGGAAGGAGACAGGCAGCCAGCAAGGCGGUCCCUUCUUCCCUUCACCCUGGGCUGGGAUGCAGCCCGCCUCUCUAAGGUGUUGAUUUUCAUGGUUUCCAAAUAAUGUAUCAGCAACUGACUUGGCAGCUGCUUUCAUAUAUAUAUUUUUUAACCUGUCGUGUAAGUACAUUUUAUACAAAUAUUUCUAAACGGAAAGCCUGGUGAAAAGAGGAGAUGUGAAAUCCAUGUGAGCUCGGUCACAGAAAGACACGGCAUCUGAAUUGAUUUUUUUUUUCAUUUUUUUAAAGUUUUGUUGAAGUCGAGUUGAUUUACAAGGUUGUGACCAUUUCUGCAGUACCACAAAGUGAUUCAGUCACACAUGUACACACACCCAUUCUCUUUCAGAUGCUUUUCCCACAUGGAUUAUCACAGAAUCCAGGGUAGAAUUCUCUGUGCUCUACAGCAGGUCCCUGUUGGCCAGUCAUUCCAUAAACCUCAGUGUAUAUAUGCCAACCACAAACCCCCAAGCCAUCCCUCGCCCUACUAGCCCCCUUUGGUAACCAUAAGUUUCUUUUGAAAAUCUAUGAAUCUGUUUCUGUGCUGCAUAUAAAUUAAUUUGUAUCUUUUUUUAGAUUCCACAUAUAAGUGAAAUUCUAUGAUGUUUGUCUUUCGCUCUCACAUUAAUGUCACUCAGUAUGAAUUGAUAUUUUAUUGUCUUAGAAUUUCUCUCUGUCCACCGCUGGCCCUAAUAUUCUCACUUUGGGGAGAAAGCAAGAAAGAGGGAUGUGGGAAGAGUGGACUCAGUGAAGAUUCAGGGCUGAGAAAUAGUAGCUCCAGUGUUGAGCUGUGAACUUGGACAAAUGAUUUCAUCUUUCUCAGCCUCAGUUUCCCCAUUUGUAACUGUGGGCAUUCAAUAUUACAAUUCAAAUGAUAGCUUAGUAAUAUGCAAAUGUUAGUUUGUAAGAUUAAAAAGAAGAAAUUAUGAUUUAAACUAUGAUGAAAAAUAAUAAUUAUUUCAUUAUUCAACUUUCAUUUUCUGGGAAGUUUUUCAAUAUCCUAUUAAAUUUGCUUUCAUAAAAAUGUUUAGACUUCUCCACCCAUAAAUAUUUCAAUGAAAAAAAGGAACAACAACAA